rnacentral:rRNA from 1 species
AGAGUUUGAUCCUGGCUCAGAUUGAACGCUGGCGGCAUGCCUAACACAUGCAAGUCGAACGGUAACAGGCCGCAUGGGAUCCCUUCGGGGUGACCUUGGCGCUGACGAGUGGCGGACGGGUGAGUAAUACUUAGGAAUCUGCCCAAUAGUGGGGGACAACUCGAGGAAACUCGAGCUAAUACCGCAUACGCCCUACGGGGGAAAGCGGGGGAUCUUCGGACCUCGCGCUAUUGGAUGAGCCUAAGUCGGAUUAGCUUGUUGGUAGGGUAAAGGCCUACCAAGGCGACGAUCCGUAGCUGGUCUGAGAGGACGAUCAGCCACACUGGGACUGAGACACGGCCCAGACUCCUACGGGAGGCAGCAGUGGGGAAUAUUGGACAAUGGGCGCAAGCCUGAUCCAGCAAUGCCGCGUGUGUGAAGAAGGCCUGCGGGUUGUAAAGCACUUUCAGUAGAGAAGAAAAGCUUACGGUUAAUACCUGUGAGUCUUGACGUAACCUACAGAAGAAGCACCGCUAACU